CUGAGCCGAAGUCUGACGCUCAACUGACUGAGCCACCCAGGUGCCUCGACCCCUAUUUAUUUUUUUAAAGUAAUCUUUGCACCCAACGCGGAGGGCUCGAUCUCACCACCCCAAGAUCAUGGUCGCACACUCUACCACUGACCACGCCAGCUGCCCCAGGCCACCUUUGCAGCGGCGGUCAUCCGCUGAUCUGCUGGCCUCGUCAGCCCUGAAGCACAAUGGAACCUACGUCUUGAAACGCCUGCCGCUGGAGACACAGCUGAGAACGAGACAGCGAAUGCCUGCGGACGUUGACAUUCUGGUGCCGGCUGUGGACAGAACGCGAUGAGGACAGGCAGGUGUGACAGUGACCAGGUGGGAAGGGAGGCCUCGGGGUGGGUGGAAUCUGAGCCCCGACCUUCAAGGUCGGAAGGGGUGGUCAGCGUGGCCAGUGCCACGGCAUGGCCCUCACUUCACUGGAUCCUGUCCUGAGAGCUUCCCGUGGAGCAGGACGGGGUCCCGUUGGGCCAGGAUUUGCUGCUGGAGGCGACACUGGUGGCAACAAGGAGCCAGUAACAAGCCAACAGCCACGGGCCAUCCUGCUGCUCCCGGUCACCUGCCUUUCCGGGAGUGAUCUGGGGGCCUCGGCACUGCUUUCACCUUCGCGGGGGCCACUUCCAGCCCCGAUGGCAUCAGGGACACCGGAAGUUACCCUUGAGGUCAACUCCAAAGGUUAGGCGCACACACAGAGUAGCGAGUCACCCUCGAGUCCGGCCUGCAGGGAGGAACUGUCACUUCAGCACCACGUGACCUCAGUACGUGGCCCCCGCAUCCCAGGGUGGACCCACGAGCAAGUGUCUGUCGGGCGCUGUCGGGCCGCGAGGAGGUCCUGGAUUCCCAGGGGGGGUCCAAUCUGAUGACACGAACCCUUAAACUUGGAGGCUCUUCCCUGCCUGUGGUCGGAGAAGGGACUCCGGCAAGGCCAGGCUCUGCGGAUGGGCGAGGGGCGGGGACGGGGCACGGGAGGGGGACCCGGAAACCCAGGGCACCUGUUCCUGUGCCGCAGCCUCCCCAAGGAACUGGCCCUGCCCACCCUGAAGUGUGGGGCUUUUGGCCUCCAAAACCGGGGGAUGAUGAGUUGGUGCUGUUUCGAGUCACUGAGUUUGUCGUAAUUUGUUAGGGCAGCCGCAGGAAAACGCACACACCCAAUUAUCCUGCAAGUAUUGUGUGAAACGCUCCAAUCCCAAAACGAGCACAGCACUCUGGGGACAGGAGGAGAUCACCGUUGCUGAGAACCCGGCGCCCCAGCGACCAAAGGAGGCUGCCAGCACACGGGGUGGGGUGGGCCUGCUGUGGCCAUCCAUCAAAUCCUGCCCGGAUGAAGGCAGCACACACCCCGUAAGCAGUGGGCUCCAGAAGGGGCCUCAAAACUUCUUCCAGGUUCUCUGAACAGCACGAGCAAGCACCCCAGGACCUUUUCCUGAAGGGCCUCCCAGUGCCUGUCAACAUUAAGCACUUACUGUAAGGAGGCCAAAGCAGAGGGACCAUGAACUCCCUGCGGGAAGACAAGGCAGAUGGGGUGGAUCCUGAGCCCGCCCUCCUGGCCUCCACACCCAGUGCUUCCUGCUCCGAUGGUAACCCACAGAACCCCCAUCUUCAAAAAAUACUUUUAGUGGCCCUGGGCGGCUCAGUCGGUUAAGUGUCCGACUUCAGCUCAGGUCAUGAUCUCGCGGUUCAUGGGUUCGAGCCCCGCAUCGGGCUCUGUG